GGGGUGGGAAUGUGCCUUUGUCUGAAAUGUUGGGUACAUUUGCUCUAUCUGUUGGUGCUGCUGUGGGAAUGGAGUUUUGGGCAAGAUGGGCUCAUAAAGCUCUCUGGCACGCUUCUUUAUGGCAUAUGCACGAGUCUCACCACCGACCCAGAAAAGGUCCAUUCGAGCUUAACGAUGAACUGAAACAGAGAGAGAAG